rnacentral:rRNA from 1 species
UACGGGGGGGGCAAGCGUUGUUCGGAAUUACUGGGCGUAAAGGGCUCGUGGGCGGCCAACUAAGUCAGACGUGAAAUCCCUCGGCUUAACCGGGGAACUGCGUCUGAUACUGGAAGGCUUGAGUAUGGGAGAGGGAUGCAGAAUUCCAGGUGUAGCGGUGAAAUGCGUAGAUAUCUGGAGGAAUACCGGUGGCGAAGGCGGCAUCCUGGACCAUUACUGACGCUGAGGCGCGAAAGCUAGGGGAGCAAACGGG